UACGAGUGGGACGAGUGUUAUUCGGCGUGACUGGGCGUAAAGGGCAGGUAGACGGUUGAUAGAAACGUAUAUCGAAAAAACUGCAGUUUAUUCCGUAGGUAGAAGUACGAAACUUUCAACUAAUGUUAAUACGUAAGAUAAUAGAAUCCUUUUUGUAGGGCUAAAAUCCGUUUGUAAUUUUCGAAAAAAAGGAAAAUGUCGUAUUGGUGAAGACGAUUAUCUAAAGUUAACUGAUGUUCAGCUGCGAAAGCGUGGGGAGCAAAUAGG
rnacentral:rRNA from 1 species